ACCUGGGUGGCUCGGUCGGUUGAGCAUCCGACUUCGGCUCGGGUCAUGAUCUCAUGGUCCGUGGGUUCGAGCCCCGCGUCAGGCU
rnacentral:tRNA from 1 species